AAUGAAUUGUUAUCUAAGUACCUAUUAGAAGUUUGAUUCAAUAAAGAACUUCACUUAAGAUUUAAAAUAAAGUGGUAAGUAAAGUAUGUUUGUUUAAUUUUAAUAUUUAAAAUUGUUUUCCUAUAAGCAUGAUUAACAUUAAUCAGACAUGUACUACUGACAAAAACCAUAAUGCACUGUUCCGAUACAGACAUGGUCAAUUCAUACUAUUUAAACAGUUUGGCAGCAAAUGAUGGGAGAUAUUGAGUUAUGGAUGUUGUCUGUUG